rnacentral:lncRNA from 1 species
AAGAAUAUAAAGAAUAAAACUGCCAAAUGUCCUAAAAAUUACCAAUUCAGGGAAGUAAUCAAACAGCAGGUUGUCCGAUGCGUGUGAAAAUUUCAACGGUAGAUAGAUCUUGAUGAUUAAGUUUCAGAGAUAUAAGCUUAACUGUUUUUACCCCCUUUUCUAUUUUUAGCCAUGGCGGCCAUCUUGGUUGAUGGGCGAGGUUUUCAGAUACAUUUUGCUAAACAACAUUCCCUGAGGAUGGUUCA